UACGUAGGGGGCUAGCGUUGUCCGGAAUCAUUGGGCGUAAAGCGCGUGUAGGCGGUCCGGUAAGUCCGCUGUGAAAGUCGGGGGCUCAACCCUCGGAUGCCGGUGGAUACUGUCGGGCUUGAGUACGGAAGAGGCGAGUGGAAUUCCUGGUGUAGCGGUGAAAUGCGCAGAUAUCAGGAGGAACACCAAUUGCGAAGGCGGCACUCUGGGCCGGAACUGACGCUGAGGAGCGAAAGCGUGGGGAGCGAACAGG
rnacentral:rRNA from 1 species